rnacentral:rRNA from 1 species
CAGCCGCCGCGGUAAUACGGAGGGAGCUAGCGUUGUUCGGAAUUACUGGGCGUAAAGCGCACGUAGGCGGCUUUGUAAGUUAGAGGUGAAAGCCUGGGGCUCAACUCCAGAAUUGCCUUUGAGACUGCAUCGCUUGAACACGGGAGAGGUGAGUGGAAUUCCGAGUGUAGAGGUGAAAUUCGUAGAUAUUCGGAAGAACACCAGUGGCGAAGGCGGCUCACUGGACCGUUGUUGACGCUGAGGUGCGAAAGCGUGGGGAGCAAACAGGAUUAGAUACCCCCGUAGUCCCUGUCUCUUAUAA